CCUACGGGUGGCAGCAGUGAGGAAUAUUGGUCAAUGGACGAGAGUCUGAACCAGCCAAGUAGCGUGAAGGAUGACUGCCCUAUGGGUUGUAAACUUCUUUUAUAUGGGAAUCAGAUGUUACACGUGUGGGAUUUUGUAUGUACCAUAUGAAUAAGGAUCGGCUAACUCCGUGCCAGCAGCCGCGGUAAUACGGAGGAUCCGAGCGUUAUCCGGAUUUAUUGGGUUUAAAGGGAGCGUAGGUGGAUUGUUAAGUCAGUUGUGAAAGUUUGCGGCUCAACCGUAAAAUUGCAGUUGAAACUGGCAGUCUUGAGUACAGUAGAGGUGGGCGGAAUUCGUGGUGUAGCGGUGAAAUGCUUAGAUAUCACGAAGAACUCCGAUUGCGAAGGCAGUUCACUGGACUGCAACUGACACUGAGGCUCGAAAGUGUGGGUAUCAAACAGGAUUAGAUACCCGAGUAGUC
rnacentral:rRNA from 1 species